rnacentral:rRNA from 1 species
UAGGGAAUCUUCGGCAAUGGGGGGAACCCUGACCGAGCAACGCCGCGUGAGUGAAGAAGGUUUUCGGAUCGUAAAGCUCUGUUGUUAAGGAAGAACGAGUGUGAGAAUGGAAAGUUCAUGCUGUGACGGUACUUAACCAGAAAGGGACGGCUAACUACGUGCCAGCAGCCGCGGUAAUACGUAGGUCCCGAGCGUUGUCCGGAUUUAUUGGGCGUAAAGCGAGCGCAGGCGGUUAGAUAAGUCUGAAGUGAAAGGCAGUGGCUCAACCAUUGUAGGCUUUGGAAACUGUUUAACUUGAGUGCAGAAGGGGAGAGUGGAAUUCCAUGUGUAGCGGUGAAAUGCGUAGAUAUAUGGAGGAACACCGGUGGCGAAAGCGGCUCUCUGGUCUGUAACUGACGCUGAGGCUCGAAAGCGUGGGGAGCGAACAGG